GUCGUGUUCUGUAAAGGAGAUGAUAUGUCUGAUCUUUGUGUUUACCUUGAUCAAUUCUUACUUGUCUGUUUGUUCACCGAAUUCGCUUCUUUCAUGUACCACUAGUAAUGGGUUCAAUGAAUUGUCUUACAAAUGAGCUUCUUGUCCAAAUCUUGUCAUUCCUUCCCACUAAAGAAGCUACUUCAACAUCUCUUCUCUCCAAGAGGUGGAGGACUCUGUUUACUUUCAGUCCUACUCUUGACUUUGACAACUCCAUCCUUUUGCAAUCCAAGAAGCCUAAAAUACUCAAAAGAGUUUCCGGGAUUUCGUGGAUAGUACAUUGGCUUUACAAGGCGGUAAGGGUAUAAAGUCGUUCUCAUUAAAGUCUAUAGAAACACUUGGAGAUGUAAAUGGCGUGGUUGAUGUAAACCGCUGGAUAUGUAAUGCCGUGGAACACGGUGUCUCUGAGCUUCAACUACGGAUAGACUGUACUAGGCGGUGUUUUAUCCCAUCCGAAAUCUUCACCAGCACCACACUGGUUAAGCUGUCAUUGGUAACACAAAGUUACAUCCCAAUUCUACCUACGGGUUAUCUCUCCCAGCACUAAAGGUUCUCUUCCUUGAUUCAAAUUGGUUUGAAUUUCCUCAAUUCGUAAUGCUUCUCACUGCUUGCCCUGUACUUGAGGACUUAACCAUAUAUCAGAAACCUCAUUCAGUUGGAAUGCCAUACGACAUAUCCAGCAAAUCCAUUAAGAGACUCUCAGUUACCUAUACAUGUUCUCUUUUUGCUGAUUAUCCCAUGAAAUUAUUUAACACACCGAGUGUUAUCGACCUCUACUACUCUGAUUAUGUUCGGCAUCGGUAUCCAAAUUGUAAUUUCGAUUCACUUGCCAAAGCUACACUGGAUAUUCAUUUCUUAGAUUAUAAUGUCGCUGAUGUGACAGAGCUCCUCAGUGGGAUACGCAACGUCAGGACCCUUCACUUGACUUCUUCUACUGUUGAGGUGAUUUUGUUAUGCUGCAAGGGGGAAAUACCAGUGUUCGAGAACCUCAUUAGUUUAGAGUUUUCGGGUAAAACACGAAAGUGGAAAUUUCUUCUGCCAUUUAUGCUAGAGCGUUGUCCAAACCUAAACACUCUUGUUCUCUCGGUAUGAAGCAAACCCUGAACGAAUCGUUCUUAUUUUGUAUACAUGAAAUUAAAGUAGUCUCUCCUCUUAAUGCUUCAGGGUCU